GAUGCACGCUAGCUACAUGCUUAACACAUGCAAGUCGAGGGACCGGCGCACGGGUGCGUAACACGUAUCCAACCUGCCCUUUACUCUGGGAUAGCCUUUCGAAAGAAAGAUUAAUACCCGAUGUAAAGGAUGGGGAUUGUUUCCCUUAGGUUGUUGGUGAGGUAACGGCUCACCAAGCCUUCUAUGGAUAGGGGUUCUGAUAGUAAGGUCCCCCACAUCUGAACUGAGACACGGUCCAAACUCCUACGGGAGGCAGCAGUGAUGAAUAUUGGUCAAUGGGCGUGAGCCUGAACCAGCCAAGUAUCGUGAAGGAUGAAGGCUUAUGGGUCGUAAACUUCUUUUAUAUAAGAAUAUGUAUUAUAUGAAUAAGGAUCGGCUAACUCCGUGCCAGCCGCCGCGGUAAUUC
rnacentral:rRNA from 1 species